rnacentral:rRNA from 1 species
GNUUCAAAGUUCCGGCGCUUUAGGAUCGGUCUGCGGCCUAUCAGGUAGUAGUGGGUGUAAUGUACCCCCUAGCCUAUUACGGGUAUGGGCCUUGAGAGAGGGAGCCCAGAGUUGGAUUCUGAGACACGAAUCCAGGCCCUACGGGGCGCAGCAGUCGCGAAAACUUCACAAUGGGCGAAAGCCCGAUGAGGGAAUUCCUAGUGCUAGCACUUUUGUGUUAGCUUUUCUUUAGCGUAGAUAACUAGAGGAAUAAGGGCUGGGUAAGACGGGUGCCAGCCGCCGCGGUAAUACCCGCAGCCCGAGUGGUGGUCGAUUUUAUUGAGUCUAAAACGUUCGUAGCCGGUCUGAUAGAUCCUUGGGUAAAUCGGGGGGCUUAACCUUCCGAAUUCCGAGGAGACCGUCAGGCUUGGGAUCGGGAGAGGUAAGAGGUACUUCAGGGGUAGGGGUAAAAUCCUGUAAUCCUUGGAGGACCACCGGUGGCGAAGGCGUCUUACUAGAACGAAUCCGACGGUGAGGGACGAAGCCCUAGGUCGCAAACGGGAUUAGAUACCCCGGUAGUCUAGGGUGUAAACGCUGCAGACUUGGUGUUGGAGGCCCUUCGGGGGCAUUCAGUGCCGGAGAGAAGUUGUUAAGUCUGCUACUUGGGGAGUACGUCCGCAAGGAUGAAACUUAAAGGAAUUGGCGGGGGAGCACCGCAACGGGAGGAGCGUGCGGUUUAAUUGGAUUCAACACCGGAAAACUCACCAAGGGAGACCAUCACAUGAAAAGCCAGGCUAAUGACUUU